AUUGAACGCUGGCGGCAUGCCUUACACAUGCAAGUCGAACGGCAGCGGGGGAGAAGCUUGCUUUUCCUGCUGGCGAGUGGCGAACGGGUGAGUAAUACAUCGGAACGUGCCCUGUAGUGGGGGAUAACUAGUCGAAAGAUUAGCUAAUACCGCAUACGACCUGAGGGUGAAAGUGGGGGACCGCAAGGCCUCAUGCUAUAGGAGCGGCCGAUGUCUGAUUAGCUAGUUGGUGGGGUAAAGGCCUACCAAGGCGACGAUCGGUAGCUGGUCUGAGAGGAUGAUCAGCCACACUGGGACUGAGACACGGCCCAGACUCCUACGGGAGGCAGCAGUGGGGAAUUUUGGACAAUGGGGGCAACCCUGAUCCAGCCAUGCCGCGUGCGGGAAGAAGGCCUUCGGGUUGUAAACCGCUUUUGUCCGGGAAGAAAAGGCGUCUCCUAAUACGGGGCGUUCUUGACGGUACCUUGAUAAGAAGCACCGGCUAACUACGUGCCAGCAGCCGCAGUAA
rnacentral:rRNA from 1 species